rnacentral:rRNA from 1 species
UCCUGGUGGCGAGUGGCGAACGGGUGAGUAAUAUAUCGGAACGUGCCCAGUCGUGGGGGAUAACGCGGCGAAAGCUGUGCUAAUACCGCAUACGAUCUACGGAUGAAAGCGGGGGACUCGCAAGAGCCUCGCGCGAUUGGAGCGGCCGAUAUCAGAUUAGCUAGUUGGUGGGGUAAAAGCCCACCAAGGCGACGAUCUGUAGCUGGUCUGAGAGGACGACCAGCCACACUGGAACUGAGACACGGUCCAGACUCCUACGGGAGGCAGCAGUGGGGAAUUUUGGACAAUGGGCGCAAGCCUGAUCCAGCAACGCCGCGUGCAGGAUGAAGGCCUUCGGGUUGUAAACUGCUCUUGUACGGAACGAAAAGGUCUGCCCUAAUACGGCGGGCUCAUGACGGUACCGUAAGAAUAAGCACCGGCUAACUACGUGCCAGCAGCCGCGGUAAUACGUAGGGUGCGAGCGUUAAUCGGAAUUACUGGGCGUAAAGCGUGCGCAGGCGGUUAUAUAAGACAGAUGUGAAAUCCCCAGGCUCAACCUGGGACCUGCAUUUGUGACUGUAUAGCUAGAGUACGGUAGAGGGGGAUGGAAUUCCGCGUGUAGCAGUGAAAUGCGUAGAUAUGCGGAGGAACACCGAUGGCGAAGGCAAUCCCCUGGACCUGUACUGACGCACAUGCACGAAAGCGUGGGGAGCAAACAGGA